rnacentral:rRNA from 1 species
UACGUAGGGCGCAAGCGUUAUCCGGAAUUAUUGGGCGUAAAGAGCUCGUAGGCGGUUUGUCGCGUCUGCCGUGAAAGUCCGGGGCUCAACUCCGGAUCUGCGGUGGGUACGGGCAGACUAGAGUGAUGUAGGGGAGACUGGAAUUCCUGGUGUAGCGGUGAAAUGCGCAGAUAUCAGGAGGAACACCGAUGGCGAAGGCAGGUCUCUGGGCCGAUAUUGACGCUGAGGAGCGAAAGCGUGGGGAGCAAACAGG